GUCUUGAAACCGUAUACACACAUACAAACACACACUUUGAAGAUUCAAACUUCAACUUUGAAGAUUAAAGCCACUUCCAAAUUUUCAUUGAAUAUUUGAAGAUCAAACCAUGGAGUUUUCAAGGAGAUGCAAGAUUUUUAUCAUAAAAACCAUCAUCAAAAACCCAUUUAUAAUCUUGAAAGGUACAUGAGUUCGGCUUCGGAGAAUUUUGGCUUGCGUUGUCGUGUGGUUGUGUGA
rnacentral:lncRNA from 1 species